GGCUUGUGCACAUGCUUGUCCUAUGUAGAGAGUGUUUUAAUCCACUACAGUAAAUAACUCCUGACAGUGGACUUGCAUGUUGCUCUCAGAUGUGCUGGAUGAGGGGAGAGAAAGGGAUAGUGAAUUGGCUACCAGAAAAUGUAUUUCUGCUUCUUCAGUUCCUGAGAAAGUUCUCUCUCUCCUGCAAACACGGACUUGCAGAAAGCUCUGGUGUUCCUGAGCUAUUGAACUGAAAUUUCUUGUUGGAUCUACUGACAACAUUUUAGAUUUUUUCUGACAAAUUUUCAAGACCUAGAAAUUAGCUGACAGUGGGAAAUAAAUCCAUCAACUUACAUGGUUUGCAGAUGAUACCAAACUGGAGGGAACAGUGAAUAUGCUGUGGGCAGUGCUACCAUACAGAACAGCCUAGGCAGGCUGGAGGAAUGGGCCAAGAGGAACCUUGUGAAAUUCAGCAAGGACAAAUACAAAGUUCCUGUCACCUGGGAAUGCUCAGCCCUUGCAUCAAUACAUGCUGGGGGUGAAUGCAGCAUGGUUACUGCAAGGGCUCUGGAGAGUCCUGGCAGACAGCACAUGGCCUGUGCAUCAGGUGUGUUCCCUGGCAGCAAAGAAGGCAAAGGCAUCCUGACUGCGCUGGAGACAGCACAGCAGGAGCUUGUGGGAAGGGAUUGUGCUCCUGCUCAGCACCUGUCAGACCACAUCUAGGCACUGUCUCCUUUUGAGUCCCUCCAGGAGAGGAGAAAUUGGAGCCAAGUUUAGCUGAGACUCCCCAGAAUGACUGGAGUCAGAGCUGUGUGAGGAGGAGCUAAAGGAACUGGAUUUAUUCAGCCUGGAGAAGAGGUGGCUUCAGGUGAACCUGAGAGCAGCCUGCCAGCAUCUAUGAGGGUAUCUUUAAGAAGACAAAGCAAGGCGCUUCACAGUGGUUUUCAGCGUGCCUGAAACAGAGGACUCUCUCUCUCUGAGUCAUUUGUGGACACUUCCAUAGAGCAAUAACAGUAGAAGAAUAGCAAUGGUAUCUGUUAUUGGAGUC